GACGAACGCUGGCGGCGUGCUUAACACAUGCAAGUCGAACGCUGAAGCUUGGUGCUUGCACUGGGUGGCUGAGUGGCGAACGGGUGAGUAAUACGUGAGUAACCUGCCCUUGACUCUGGGAUAAGCCUGGGAAACUGGGUCUAAUACUGGAUACGACAUGUCACCGCAUGGUGGUGUGUGGAAAGGGUUUUACUGGUUUUGGAUGGGCUCACGGCCUAUCAGCUUGUUGGUGGGGUAAUGGCUCACCAAGGCGACGACGAGUAGCCGGCCUGAGAGGGUGACCGGCCACACUGGGACUGAGACACGGCCCAGACUCCUACGGGAGGCAGCAGUGGGGAAUAUUGCACAAUGGGCGAAAGCCUGAUGCAGCGACGCCGCGUGAGGGAUGACGGCCUUCGGGUUGUAAACCUCUUUCAGCACGGAAGAAGCGAAAGUGACGGUACGUGCAGAAGAAGCGCCGGCUAACUACGUG
rnacentral:rRNA from 1 species